UACGAAGGGGGCUAGCGUUGCUCGGAAUGACUGGGCGUAAAGGGCGCGUAGGCGGAUUGUACAGUCAGGCGUGAAAUUCCCGGGCUCAACCUGGGGGCUGCGCUUGAGACGUGCGAUCUUGAGUGGGGAAGAGGGUCGUGGAAUUCCCAAUGUAGAGGUGAAAUUCGUAGAUAUUGGGAAGAACACCGGUGGCGAAGGCGGCGACCUGGUCCUUGACUGACGCUGAGGCGCGAAAGCGUGGGGAGCAAACAGG
rnacentral:rRNA from 1 species